CCUACGGGUGGCAGCAGUAGGGAAUAUUGCUCAAUGGGGGAAACCCUGAAGCAGCAACGCCGCGUGGAGGAUGAAGGUUUUCGGAUUGUAAACUCCUUUUGUUAGAGAAGAUAAUGACGGUAUCUAACGAAUAAGCACCGGCUAACUCCGUGCCAGCAGCCGCGGUAAUACGGAGGGUGCAAGCGUUACUCGGAAUCACUGGGCGUAAAGGGCGCGUAGGCGGGAUAGCAAGUCAGAUGUGAAAUCCUAUGGCUUAACCAUAGAACUGCAUUUGAAACCGUUAGUCUAGAGUAUGGGAGGGGUAGGUGGAAUUCUUGGUGUAGGGGUAAAAUCCGUAGAGAUCAAGAGGAAUACUCAUUGCGAAGGCGACCUGCUAGAACAUAACUGACGCUGAUGCGCGAAAGCGUGGGGAGCAAACAGGAUUAGAUACCCGGGUAGUC
rnacentral:rRNA from 1 species